rnacentral:rRNA from 1 species
CAAUACUUUGGUGGCGACCGGCGCACGGGUGCGUAACGCGUAUGCAACCUACCUUUAACAGGGGCAUAACACUGAGAAAUUGGUACUAAUUCCCCAUAACAUUCGAGAAGGCAUCUUCUUGGGUUAAAAACUCCGGUGGUUAAAGAUGGGCAUGCGUUGUAUUAGCUAGUUGGUGAGGUAACGGCCCACCAAGGCAACGAUACAUAGGGGGACUGAGGGGUUAACCCCCCACAUUGGUACUGAGACACGGACCAAACUCCUACGGAAGGCAGCAG